rnacentral:lncRNA from 1 species
AGGUAUGAUGGUGUCUGGUUUUAGAGUUUUAAAUGCAUGUAUUACUGUAUUACUUGACCACUGUGUGAUUUUGGGAUUUAAAAUAUGAUUGUAUUACCGGGUACAUGUUCAUUGUUUAUAUGAUUGUGUUUAAUUUGGUAACAGAGAUUAAGGAUAAACAGGAAAGGGAUGUGAUCUAAUAAACAGAUAAGGUGACAGCCUCACUAGAUAUCUUAGGAGAUGGUGGACGGACCGGGUUCAUAGGGAACCCUACCGUGAACGUUGUCUCAUACCGGACGGAGUAUGGAGACUUGGUCAUUUGGCGCUUAUACCAGACGAGGUAUGGGGAUGGCUCGCUUCACCCUCAUAGCAGGGACACCCUUAGGGAUCCCCAUGGAUACUAGUAGGCUGAUAAAAAAUGG